ensembl:lncRNA
UACAGUCAGGGCGCGCGGCGGAGGCGAGGCCAGGGCGGCCCCCGCCCCUCCCGGCCGCUCCCCCUAGCCCCGCGCCGGCUCCUCCCUCCGGCCCUCGGCGGGCACCUGGCGGCGGCGGGCAGGGGGCGGCGCUGCGCGCGUCACGCGUCUGGGUGGGAUAGCGGGCAGGUGACACCCGGCGGCCUCCUCCCCUUUCCAGCCCAGUCGGCGGCCGGGACAGCAGGGGCCGCUGUGAGGAGCUCCGCGCUCGCACUGCCAGCCGCCGCCCUCUCUCCCGCGCGCGCCGGGCGCUUCGGCUCGGCUCCCUGUGCGGUGAGUGCGGGGCUCCAGGCCGGCGGGCAGGGGCCAAACUUUCCCGGGGCGCGGAGGAGAAGAGACGCGGGAGGGAGGCAGAGCCGAGGGAAACGGCGUCGGGAGCAGCCGGAUGGAGGAACCUGGGCGCGGCGAGCGAGAAGUGGGGCCCGGGUGCGGGGGCCCCGGGAGCCGGGCCAGGCCCUCCCUGGGCUCGGGAGGCGUUUAGGAAGUUCUGUCCCCGCCGCCUGCGCGUGGGGAGGGCCGAGGCCCUUUUCCGCCAGAGCGCGGGGCCGCGGCGCUCACCUGCGCCUUCUCCAGGAGCCUACUCCCGGCAGCAUCCUGAAGGGAAGUCGGGCCCGGUGGGCGCGCUGCGGAGCGGAGCCUGGACUGGGGUCCCGCGCGGCGCCGGCUCUGCGGAGCGGGAGGGACAGAGGUGCUCGCCGGCGGGACUGGGAGGGAGAAGGACUUGCUCGACCUUGGACGCGGAGGUCAUUGUCCCAGCUCCGGGGUCUGGUCUCGCUAGCCAGCCCUCCAAAUUCCGGAGCCCCUUUCUUUCUGUUUCCUUCCUUCCCCUUUGGGCGCUUUUUUUGCUCCCGCGGCCGGAUGAACUUGGGGCGCUGUCCCAUCGGCUCCCCGAGCCGCAUCCUGUCCCGGUGGCUGCUGCUGGCCGGGAGGAGGCUGAUGAAUACAGAGCCGUGGAACAGGUCCUGCCGGAGAUGGAAACAGGAAAGCCUGUUGUUUUGUCGUCCCAGACAGGAUUUCACCAUGUUAGCCAGGCUGGUGUCGACUCCCGAUCUCAGGUGAUCUGCCCACCUCGGCCUCCCAAAGUGCUGGAAUUACAGGCCGUCCGUCCUGCAGUGAGUCUCUUUACAUGUAUUUUCUAAUGAAUCUUUUGAAGCCAGCAAAGUCUGGCUUAUCGUAUGCACAGGUACAGAAAGGUGAAGAAAGCAGAAAGGGUGCUCAGGCUACACUAUUAGAAGUAUGCAGCCAGGGUUUCAACUGAGGUGUAAUUACAAGGUUUAGGCUCUUCCCACUCUGAAUACUUACUCUGUGGAUUGAUAUAUUUGAGAAUAUAGGAGGCCCUAGGACUCUGAUAUCUUACAAUAGUUUUGUGAGGGCAUAAGGGCAACCAUAAAAAUAAAUACAGACUUUUUAGGGUCAAUGGUAGAAAUGUGAGAUCUAGACAAAGAGAGUUUCAUUAGCAGCCCUUAAUCUAAAUGCAGCCCCAUCCCCCAACUCUUCUCCUUCUUUCUCUCCCAAAUUUUUGGGUUUUGUCCUAAUAGCACAUUUGUGAUUUGUUUGUGUGUUUAUUUUAAUUAAAUGCUCUAACAAGGGCAGAACAAAAGUAAAGGGCACUUAUUACUUAAAGGUGACUUAUUUUAAGUCUGUUCAGGGACUUCUCUGUCCCUCAUCUUACCUGUCUUUUUGUGCCUUCUUCAGGCAGACAGUGCUGUGCUGCAUCCUGCAGGACAGAAAGAUUUAUGUCUCAGAAAUAAACCAGCCAUUGAACAAUGUUGACCCACAUUUUAAUCACUCUGCCGCUUAUCAUUCAGUUAGCUAGAAAGCACAGCUGAUAGCUUCAUCCUUCAUCCUCUUCUUUGUAAUUCUAACAGGUGUGACUUUAACUUGCAGAAAGAAAGAUAGAAAUGGCAUUCCUAGGAAUCCAUAGUCCAAUGACUGAUUAUUCAGUAGCUUAGGGUGAGUUCCUAAGCAAAUGUGGAAUGGAAUUUUUUAAAUCAAGCUGUGAGAACCACUAUUCAUUGUUCAAAAGGAAAAAAAUGGUAGUGGAUGUGAUAUUUAACAUAAAAUAUAGUCAGUGUUUUUAAAUAAAGUGUGUGUGUGUGUGUGUGUGAAUAUGGUUGAACAUAUGCAGUUGCUCUUUCUAUAGAUGAAUAAACAGUUGGAUGUUGGCAGUUUGCAUAUGGUUCAUCCUGAUUCAAAUACAAUCCCGUUGACAUCUAACAGUUGACCAAUGAGCCUAUACUCUUCAUUUCCCUAUAAGCACAUGGGGUGGUGCCCAGGCAUGGUGAACACUGGCUUCUAGUAGUCUCCUUCCUUCUCCAACUGCUGGGUUAUUGGCUUAACAACAAUUUAUUGUAUUUAUUGAAAACAUGUUAGUGCCAGUUAUACUUGUUAUUGUGAUAGAUAAUUUAGAUGUGCAUAAACUUAUGAAAUGUAAGUGCAAAAAAAGAAUAUUGUUAUUAUGAAAGGAAUGUUGAAUUCUUUGGAAAGGUUCCAUAAAAGUGAGUCACUAAGGGGUCAGGAAAACUAAAAAAAUCAGAAAGAUGGCUGGGUGUAACAGCUCAUGCCUGUAAUUCCACCAUUUUGGGAAGCCUAGGUGGGAGGAUCACUUGAGGACAAGAGUUCAAGACGAGCCUGGGCAACAUAGUGAGACAUCCAUCUCUACAAAAAAUUUUAAAAAUAACGGGGUGUGGUGGCAUGCAUCUGUAGUCCUAGCUACUCCAGAGGCUGAAGUGGGAGAAUCCCUUAAGUCCAGGAGGUUGAGGCUGCAGUGAGCUAUGAUUGCACCACUGUACUUCAGCCUCGAUGACAGAGUGAGACCCUGUCUAAAAAAAAUUUUUUUUAAUAAAAAAAACAGAAAUUGUAAAAAUUUGAAAAAUAUCCUGAGCUUGCCAGAAAAGUGUGUGUAGUUGUGUUAUUUUAUUUUGUUUUGUUUUGUUUUCAAUUCACUUAGAAAGUUAAAAUUGGAAACUGUAGAAGAUAAGUUCUAGGUAUGGUUUAUAUCGGAAAAAUAUUGGCGAGGAGCUCUUCCCCAAGGACAGCCUUGGGACUACUUUGUCUUUUUUUUUUUUCCCCAAGAUGGGAUCUCACUGUGUCACCCAGGCUGGAAUGCAGUGGCAUGGUCUCAGCUGCUGCAACCUCUGCCUGCUGGGCUCAGUUGAUCCUCCCAGGCUCAAUUGAUCCUCCCACCUCAGUCUCCCACGUAACUGGGACUACAGGUGUGCACCACCACACCCGGCUAAUUUUUGUGUUUUGGUAGAGACAGGGUUUUGCUAUGUUGCCCAGGCUCGUCUUGAACUCCAGAGCUUAAGUGAUCUACCCGCCUUGGCCUCCCAAAGUGCUGGAAUUACAGGUGUGAACCACUGUGCCCAGCCCUUGGGACUACUUUGGAAAAUUGGAGAAUUAAUACCUAUUUAUAUUUUUUAAGAAAAAGUAAAUGUUUAUAGUAUCUAAAUAAAUUUUUGAUUCUUUGCUAUAAAUAAAUUUUUAACAAUCAACUAAUCAAAACUAGUCAGAAUUCCUGCUCCUGUUAGUCUGACUGUAAUAGUUUACGCUAUAGUGUAGUACAUAGUCAGAACCUUCACUUAGCAUACCGUACUAAUGGUAUAUAAUCAACUCAUACUUCUUAUUUUAUGUGAUUUUUUGAGAGACAGUGUCUUACCGUGUUGCCCAAACUGAUCUCAAACUUCUGGCAUCAAACAUUCCUCCCAUCUCAGCCUCCCAAGUAGCUGGGAUUACAGGUUUAAGCUACUCUGCCUGGCUCAUGCUUCUUAUUUUAAAUUGGGCUUUCAUUAGUAACAUCUAUAUAACAUUUAAGUUUAUUUUAAUAAUGUGAACCAAUAUGCAGAACUUAGAGCUGGUUCCUACCUGCAUUAAAUGGCUUACAUAAAAACUGAAAGCAAAAAUACAUAGUAUAACAUUAGCUAGAGUUUAUUAAACUUGAAAAAUUUAUUAGUGUUAUUAAACUGACAAGUUGAAUUGGUCAAGGUGUAACUUAUUUUAGAUUCAAACAGUAGUUAUAAAAGUAUAGUUAUGCUUUUCUGAAGUAUGAGUAGGUUGAUGAAAAAAGGCCAAACUUAAAAAAAUAUAAAAAUAAAAUGAUAUUUUACAAUAAUAAAAUAUAAAAUGAUAUUUUAUGCUUUUAUAAUUUUAAUUUUAUACUUUUAAUUUUAAUUUUAAUUUUAUACUUUUA